CCUUCCAGAGCGAAGGCGCGUCAAAUGCCCGGCAAGCGGAGUGGUGACGAUGAGGACCCACAGAAGCUUAAAUGGCCUCGCGGGGCGGCCUCUGGGCCCCAAAGCCACAGGCUGUCGGCUGCGGUGGGGGCGGCGGCACGAGGCCACCCCAGGCGGAGCCGAGGCGAUUGGGCAUAUUGCUCCCUGGCCAGACACGAAUCCAGAGGAGGUGGGAGGGGUCAUACUUCUGGAAGACAAGAUGAAAUUCGCGAGAAGCUGGAAGAAGGCGUGAGUAAAACCGACGUGGGGCGCCUGUUGGGCGUCAACGAAUAGACCGUGCGCACCAUUAGGAGAAACGCGAAGGCCAUCAGGGCCGGCAUGGAUACUGUGUCGCCUCUCGCUCCAAGGUGCGGUGCAUUCCCCGGCACGUAAACAUCGAGAAGAUGGAGACGGAGUUAACCUUUUUGGGUGGAGGCCCAGACCAUAGGGGGGCGGCCUCUGACGCUGAAGGCCGUCUGCAGCCAGGCCAAACGCAUUUACAAGCAGCGGGUGGAAACGACUGGGAAGGGCAGCUCGGAUAAGUUUCAUGGGAGCAAGGGAUGGUUUGAGAAGUUUAGAAAUCGCCACAGUCUGCGAAAUUCGAGGUCGAUGGGAGGGGAAGAAGCGCUGACUGCCCAGUCGGCAUCCAAGUAUGUCCAAACAACUCCAGAGGCUGAUCAGAGCUAUGUGCCUCAACGGGUCUUCGAUGCCGAGGAGAUGAGCCAGUUUUUUGGCAGUGCAUGCCUCCACGUACUUUUAGGGAAAGAGACAAAAAUCCGGAAAGCUUAGAGGAAGCUAAGGACAGGAUUUCCCUCAUUUUUUGGUGCCAGUGCCGCCGGUGACCAAAUGAUAAAACCAUUGCUGCUUUGUAAAGACCCUAAUCCCACAUGUCUUUUGGAAAAAAGAUAAAACCGCCUUCCUGUAUUCUGGAGUUCACACCCCAAACCGCUGCCCUCUUUUUGGAUUGGUUUCAUAAUUGUUUUAUUCAUCAGGCUGGGAGUUAUUUAAUAGAAAAAAAAAAAUCUUGAGUUCAGAGUGUUGCUAAUUUUGGACAGAGGUCCCAAUCGCCCAGACUCAUUUUUGGUUGCUCAUCUUAAUGUUGAUACUGUGUUUCUCCCCCUGGAAGGCACUAGCUGUCUUCAGCCCUUGGAUCAGGGUAUAAUUGAAGCAUUCAGGAGGUAUUACACCAAGCGUAUGUUUGACCACUUUGUUGACUGUAUUGAAAAAAAACCCUUGUCUUACUUUGAGAGGAACAUGGCAACAGUACAACAUUGCUGAUGCUUUGGUAGUGAUAAAAGAGUCAAUGGAUGAUAUAAGACCAGCUGCUCUUAAUAAAGCCUGGUGGAAACUUUUGGAUGAUGUUGUGAAUGAUUAUGCAUGUUUCCCUAGAGCUAAUGAAGAAGUUGCAAAAAUCAUGGAGUCUGCAACACGGAUGGACUUUAACUUCAUUGAUAUCGAACGGGGAAAUUAAUGAGGUGCUCAAGUUUCAAGCUUUGUUCAUAACCGAAAGAGAGUCUAUAUCAAUGAAUAUGGAAGAAGACAAGACCCUGGAACUAGAGGUAAAGAUGAAUCUAAGGAAACUGAAUGCUUUCUUAUGCCAGGCCUCAGACCUCAUUGAUGCUGCAAAGGAUAGGGAUCCUUUCCCGUAUCGAAGUUUGGCCUUUAAAAAAGACUUCAAUAAAUUGUUAUAUACCUGUAAAGAGGUGCAAGAGAACCUUCAAAAUAAAGCAAAGGAGUUGAACAAAGAAGACACAAAGAGGAGGUAGUGUGGGUGUAGAAGAUGGAUACAAAAUCUGAGUCUGAAGGGGAGUCUGAAUCUGAAUCCCAAAAGGAGGAGAAGGGUAGAGACAGAGAAAGAGGAUAAGAAGCCUCCAGAAGAAGAUCCUGGACCCUCAGGCGUUGGCGCUGAGACUUACUGUAUCUGAAGACUCUGCCGAAGCCAUAAAUGCAGAAUUGGAUUUUUGGAAUCUAACCUUAGAAUUGAAUCUGGAGAGAGUAGAAGUGCCUGAGUUGAAGAAGUGAAUCCAGAGGCGUUUUCUUCCAAAUGAUGAUUCAUGUCUUGCCAUUCUUCCUCUCUUGUUCCAACAUCACUUUCAUCAUGACCAUGCUUAUCAUCAGCCACACAUCUAUAUUGUUUCAUCAUUCCACAAACAUUUACUGAGCAUAAGCUAUGUGGGGUCCCAUGCUAAACUUGGGGACAUGAUCUCAGGAAGCCAUCUCAGGAUCUAAGAUCCUGGCAGCUUCUUUCCUGUCCUAUCCAGUGCUCAGGACCCUUAGCCUGCAGCUCCAUUCAGCUAUCACCGGCAGCUACGUAUCCGGCACUUACUCCGUCGUCUUUGUCAACUGUCCCAACGAGCAGAUUGCCAGAGAUAUUGCCAGGUCUCGUGAAGAGGCUCGGGUGCUGCCCCAGGAGGCUGGGGGAGCUACCGGGAUGCUCCACGGUGGCCACUUUGGGCUCCCUCUCUUGCUUCUGACAACCCUGUGUGUCCACUACGCAGCUGUCAGCUUGGGGUGAUAAGAGGACCACGGCUGAAUGAACCCCCCCCACCCAUGGAUCCUGCUCCUGGGCCUGAAAAUGUACUUUUGGAAUGGAGAAAUAGAAGAAGCCACUGAAAUCCUGUUGCUAAUAAAGACAAAGACUUCCAAGGUCCGCAUGCUGUUCAGCUAUAUCAGGUAAUGCUGGUGUGUCUUUUCAGCCAGGGAUGUCCUGGGAACUAAGUGAAUGAGCUUGAAAAGCAAGAGACCUAGAGCCUAGUCACCAACCUCUCAUAUGACCCUGGGCAUGUCCCUGUCCCUCAGAUUCUCCAGCUAUAAAAUGAGAGGCUAGAGUGAGUGAAUGGAGACAGUAGUUCUCAAGAUUUUGGUCUUCGGAUCCCAGGGGAGCUUAAGGUUAUGUUAAAGUUUAUUGCAUUAGAAAGUAAAACUACGAAAUUAAAAAAAUGUUUUAGUUCAUUUAAAAUAAUAACAAUACAACUGUUCUAUAUAAACAUAAGUAAUACAUUUUUAUGGGAAGGAACCAUAUUUUCCAAGAAACAAAGUGAGAAAAAUGGCAUCAUGUUAUAUUUUGGCAACAUCUGGCUUGUUGAGAAGGCUGCGUCUCCUCAGAAAACAUACUCCCUCUUAAGUACUGGGACACUUUUACGCUCAUGAUGGUAAACUCAAACUCUCAAACUUCUAAUUUUUGCUUGAAAACAUGAAUUUUUUUCCUCAACAAAUGGUAUCAGUUGUCUUCAUUUGAGUGAUUGGCUCACUUUGUUCACAUUAGAGAAAAACGUCUGCCUAAUGCUCAAACCACAGUAACCAGCAUUUGUAAACAUGACAGACAAAUUAUGGUCACUCAGGCUUGAAAUUAAAAAUGGUGUUCCAUGAAAAAAAGUGCAGUUUGUUUAGUUUGGCUUGUGGCUUCAAUGGGCAGACAGGUUUAAGACAACAUUGAACUUCAGUAUCCGGCAGAAGUGCUUUAAUGUGCACUUUCCAUUUCGUCAUUAAUGAGACAGGGACUCCAGGGCUGAAGUGCAAUAGCAAUAGCGAUCUUCGCUGUUUUAUCGAGGAUGUUCUUAAGUGAACGUGACUUUUCUGAAGCCCGAGCGUGCGGUGGAGAAGAGCACCGUGAGGCUCAUACACUGUGGUGCCACUGCCUUGCCGCGUGCUGAGGCGCCAGCAGUCUUACUCGGCAUUGUUUUGCACCAGCAGUGCAGGGAUCAACACAGUAAGAAGAUUAAUAGAAAAUUAGUAUUUUUCGGGGCGCCUGCGUGGCUCCGUUGGUUAAGCAGCCAACUUCGG